CUACGGGUGGCUCCAGUGAGGAAUAUUGCACAAUGGGGGGAACCCUGAUGCAGCAACGCCGCGUGGAGGAUGACGCAUUUCGGUGUGUAAACUCCUUUUAUAUGUCAAGAAAAUGACGGUAGCAUAUGAAUAAGCACCGGCUAACUCCGUGCCAGCAGGCCGCGGUAAUACGGAGGGUGCAAGCGUUACUCGGAAUCACUGGGCGUAAAGGACGCGUAGGCGGGCUUGUAAGUCAGGUGUGAAAUCCUACAGCUUAACUGUAGAACUGCACUUGAAACUACGAGCCUAGAGUAUGGGAGGGGGAGAUGGAAUUAGUGGUGUAGGGGUAAAAUCCGUAGAUAUCACUAGGAAUACCUAAAGCGAAGGCGAUCUCCUGGAACAUAACUGACGCUAAGGCGUGAAAGCGUGGGGAGCAAACAGGAUUAGAUACCCUCGUAGUC
rnacentral:rRNA from 1 species